rnacentral:rRNA from 1 species
UGGGGAAUUUUGGACAAUGGGGGCAACCCUGAUCCAGCCAUGCCGCGUGGGUGAAGAAGGCCUUCGGGUUGUAAAGCCCUUUCGGUGGGGACGAAACGGUGCGUGCUAACACCACGCACUACUGACGGUACCCACAGAAGAAGCACCGGCUAACUACGUGCCAGCAGCCGCGGUAAUACGGAGGGUGCGAGCGUUGUUCGGAAUUAUUGGGCGUAAAGCGCGCGCAGGCGGUCGAAAAAGUCCAUGGGUCAAAGGCCGGGGCUCAACCCCGAGUACGCCCAGGAUACUGUUCGACUGGAGACACGUAGAGGCAAGCGGAAUUUCGGGUGUAGCGGUGGAAUGCGUAGAUAUCCGAAAGAACACCGGAGGCGAAGGCGGCUUGCUGGGCGUGAUCUGACGCUGAGGCGCGAAAGCGUGGGGAGCGAA